AUGACAUGGACUCUACUAUUCCUUGCCUUCCUUCAUCACUUAACAGGGUCAUGUGCCCAGUUUGUGCUUACUCAGCCAAACUCUGUGUCUACGUCUCUAGGAAGCAAAGUCAAACUGUCUUGCAAGCGCAGCACUGGUAACAUUGGAAGCAGCUUUGUGCACUGGUACCAGCAGCAUGAGGGAAGGUCUCCCACCACUAUGAUUUAUAAUGAUGAUAACAGACCGGAUGGAGUUCCUGAUAGGUUCUCUGGCUCCAUUGACAGCUCUUCCAACUCAGCCUUCCUGACAAUCAAUAAUGUGCAGACUGAAGAUGAAGCUGACUACUUCUGUCUGUCUUACACUGGAGGUAUUAAUCACAGUGAUGUGAACCAUGGAGGAAGUAAGACAAAAUCUCCCCAGAGCACCAGCUGUGAAAUCUAUUGUGAAAAGAACUAUGGCUGUUUCAUGUCUUCAGUAAAAACAUUGCGACUGGCAAUUUGUGUCAGACUUUUUUGCACAUCUGAAAUCUUUAGAAUCUCAUCAUCUCUGACCAUGAGUCAUUUGCAUAUUUUUAUUUUUUCCCUCCAUUUUGGCAUCACUAACUUUCCAUAG